GAGUGAAAUAGAACCUGAAACCGUGUGCUUACAAGUAGUCAGAGCCCGUUAAUGGGUGAUGGCGUGCCUUUUGUAGAAUGAACCGGCGAGUUACGAUUUGAUGCAAGGUUAAGCAGUAAAUGUGGAGCCGUAGCGAAAGCGAGUCUGAAUAGGGCGUUUAGUAUUUGGUCGUAGACCCGAAACCAGGUGAUCUACCCUUGGUCAGGUUGAAGUUCAGGUAACACUGAAUGGAGGACCGAACCGACUUACGUUGAAAAGUGAGCGGAUGAACUGAGGGUAGCGGAGAAAUUCCAAUCGAACCUGGAGAUAGCUGGUUCUCUCCGAAAUAGCUUUAGGGCUAGCCUCAAGUGAUGAUUAUUGGAGGUAGAGCACUGUUUGGACGAGGGGCCCCUCUCGGGUUACCGAAUUCAGACAAACUCCGAAUGCCAAUUAAUUUAACUUGGGAGUCAGAACAUGGGUGAUAAGGUCCGUGUUCGAAAGGGAAACAGCCCAGACCACCAGCUAAGGUCCCAAAAUAUAUGUUAAGUGGAAAAGGAUGUGGCGUUGCCCAGACAACUAGGAUGUUGGCUUAGAAGCAGCCAUCAUUUAAAGAGUGCGUAAUAGCUCACUAGUCGAGUGACACUGCGCCGAAAAUGUACCGGGGCUAAACAUAUUACCGAAGCUGUGGAUUGUCCUUUGGACAAUGGUAGGAGAGCGUUCUAAGGGCGUUGAAGCAUGAUCGUAAGGACAUGUGGAGCGCUUAGAAGUGAGAAUGCCGGUGUGAGUAGCGAAAGACGGGUGAGAAUCCCGUCCACCGAUUGACUAAGGUUUCCAGAGGAAGGCUCGUCCGCUCUGGGUUAGUCGGGUCCUAAGCUGAGGCCGACAGGCGUAGGCGAUGGAUAACAGGUUGAUAUUCCUGUACCACCUAUAAUCGUUUUAAUCGAUGGGGGGACGCAGUAGGAUAGGCGAAGCGUGCGAUUGGAUUGCACGUCUAAGCAGUAAGGCUGAGUAUUAGGCAAAUCCGGUACUCGUUAAGGCUGAGCUGUGAUGGGGAGAAGACAUUGNGUCUUCGAGUCGUUGAUUUCACACUGCCGAGAAAAGCCUCUAGAUAGAAAAUAGGUGCCCGUACCGCAAACCGACACAGGUAGUCAAGAUGAGAAUUCUAAGGUGAGCGAGCGAACUCUCGUUAAGGAACUCGGCAAAAUGACCCCGUAACUUCGGGAGAAGGGGUGCUCUUUAGGGUUAACGCCCAGAAGAGCCGCAGUGAAUAGGCCCAAGCGACUGUUUAUCAAAAACACAGGUCUCUGCUAAACCGUAAGGUGAUGUAUAGGGGCUGACGCCUGCCCGGUGCUGGAAGGUUAAGAGGAGUGGUUAGCUUCUGCGAAGCUACGAAUCGAAGCCCCAGUAAACGGCGGCCGUAACUAUAACGGUCCUAAGGUAGCGAAAUUCCUUGUCGGGUAAGUUCCGACCCGCACGAAAGGCGUAACGAUUUGGGCACUGUCUCAACGAGAGACUCGGUGAAAUCAUAGUACCUGUGAAGAUGCAGGUUACCCGCGACAGGACGGAAAGACCCCGUGGAGCUUUACUGUAGCCUGAUAUUGAAAUUCGGCACAGCUUGUACAGGAUAGGUAGGAGCCUUUGAAACGUGAGCGCUAGCUUACGUGGAGGCGCUGGUGGGAUACUACCCUAGCUGUGUUGGCUUUCUAACCCGCACCACUUAUCGUGGUGGGAGACAGUGUCAGGCGGGCAGUUUGACUGGGGCGGUCGCCUCCUAAAAGGUAACGGAGGCGCUCAAAGGUUCCCUCAGAAUGGUUGGAAAUCAUUCAUAGAGUGUAAAGGCAUAAGGGAGCUUGACUGCGAGACCUACAAGUCGAGCAGGGUCGAAAGACGGACUUAGUGAUCCGGUGGUUCCGCAUGGAAGGGCCAUCGCUCAACGGAUAAAAGCUACCCCGGGGAUAACAGGCUUAUCUCCCCCAAGAGUUCACAUCGACGGGGAGGUUUGGCACCUCGAUGUCGGCUCAUCGCAUCCUGGGGCUGUAGUCGGUCCCAAGGGUUGGGCUGUUCGCCCAUUAAAGCGGUACGCGAGCUGGGUUCAGAACGUCGUGAGACAGUUCGGUCCCUAUCCGUCGUGGGCGUAGGAAAUUUGAGAGGAGCUGUCCUUAGUACGAGAGGACCGGGAUGGACAUACCUCUGGUGUACCAGUUGUCGUGCCAACGGCAUAGCUGGGUAGCUAUGUGUGGACGGGAUAAGUGCUGAAAGCAUCUAAGCAUGAAGCCCCCCUCAAGAUGAGAUUUCCCAACUUCGGUUAUAAGAUCCCUCAAAGAUGAUGAGGUUAAUAGGUUCGAGGUGGAAGCAUGGUGACAUGUGGAGCUGACGAAUACUAAUCGAUCGAAGACUUAAUCAA
rnacentral:rRNA from 1 species